UACGGAGGGGGCUAGCGUUGUUCGGAAUUACUGGGCGUAAAGCGCACGUAGGCGGCUUUGUAAGUUAGAGGUGAAAGCCCAGGGCUUAACCCUGGAAUUGCCUUUAAGACUGCAUCGCUAGAAUCGUGGAGAGGUAAGUGGAAUUCCGAGUGUAGAGGUGAAAUUCGUAGAUAUUCGGAAGAACACCAGUGGCGAAGGCGACUUACUGGACACGUAUUGACGCUGAGGCACGAAAAGCGUGGGGAUCAAACAGG
rnacentral:rRNA from 1 species